rnacentral:tRNA from 1 species
GGAUUUUUAGCUUAAUGGAAGAGCACACAUAUGAUAAAUGUGAGAUCUUGGUUCGACUCCAAGAUAAUCUA